UCCCUCUCUCAGAGGAUAAAGAGGGGAAAGGAGAGAUGAGGGGAGGCUCUGCUCAGCUGUGGGACACAGAAGUCAGGACCAGGGAUGACGAGCACCAUGGCCUGGUCCCCUCUCCUCCUCAUUCUCCUCGUUCACUGCACAGGGUCCUGGGCCCAGUCUGUGCUGACUCAGCCGCUCUCCGUGUCUGCAGCCCUGGGCCAGAAGGUCACCAUCUCCUGCACUGGAAGCAGCUCCAACAUCGGUGAUAAUUAUGUGAGCUGGUUCCAACAGCUCCCAGGAACAGCCCCCAGAACCGUCAUCUAUAGUAGUAACAACCGAACGUCGGGGAUCCCAGAUCGAUUCUCUGGCUCCAAGUCUGGCAGCUCAUCCACCCUGACCAUCACUGGGCUCCAGGCUGAGGACGAGGUGGAUUAUUACUGUGCAGCCUGGGACUGGAGUCUCAAUGCUCACAGUGCUCCAGGCAUGAGGGGAACUGAGACAAAAACCCACUUGCUCAUCUGGACCCCAGCUCGGGUCUCUGGCUCUGACGCUGGGAACGUGGCCUCUCUGACCUUCUUGAGCCUGCAGCCUGAGGACAAGGCUGAGUGGUACCAUUCAACCUGGGAUGACAGCAUCAACAAUGACAUCGUGCUACAGGCCCAAGGGGACCUGAGACACAACCUGCCCCUGUUCCCUGGGCCACUCCCAUGA